CACCCUAGCACCUAAACCAGUCCAACCAACCAGCCAGCAAGGACCCAACCAGCUAACCGACCCACCCGCACCCACGCCCACGCUCGAUCCGUUAACCCACCCGCAGGCCCAACGCACACCCGAGGCCCGACAGCCUGUUGCCAUUUCCUUUCCCUUUCUCGAGCGAGCGGUUGGCGGCGGCGGUGGCGGUGGCGGCGCUGCGAUUCCGGGGGUUUGCGGCAGUGGUACUGCAGUUCGUUAGCCGCGAGCCGUUGGCAGCCGCUGGUUCUCCUCCUCUCCCAACCUCCCCCACACUUCGUUCGUGAACUGCGUCACGGCUUCGGCGGCUGCGAUUUCCAGGCGGCAAGCGGUGCGUGGCAGCACCAAGCAGCGGAAUCAGCGGGAUAACGCGUUCUUCGAGGCGGGAUGUGGCAAUCUCGAGCGACGGCAGCAGCGGUUCGGGCGCGGCUUUAGUCCGUUGCAGGCUGCGAUGGAUGGGAGGCUCCCCCGAGCCUACGCGUGGCUCUCCGGGGAGCAUCACAAGCUUGUUGCCUCUUCGCAUCCUCAAAAUCCCGUCAUCAAUUUGACGUUCAUGGAUGUUCAGUUUUGAUUGGAUGUUUUGUUUCUGGGUAGUUCAUCCAGUUGUAGCUAGAGUGACACAAAUUUAAAAUCUCUGGUGAUCUGACGCAUUUUACUGAGGACUUAGUCCAGCAGAUAGGCAUUUUGGCUUCAGUAACUUGUUAGUUGAUUAGCACCAUGCCUUUUUUUUUGUUAGUUCAGUAGAACAAUUUGUUGUCUCUUCCGCAGUAGCUUGUUUUUUACUAGCACGCUACCUGCGCUAUGUUCAGCAUCACAUAGAAGAUGCACCUAUAGGUUUCUAGUUGAUUUUUUACAGCAACAAUCGAUGGGAACUAAUUCAGAUAGAUGAGCUUGUCAGUAUUUUUUUCCUUUUAUUCAGUAAUUUAUUUCUUUGGUAGCUCACUUUUUCUUCAAUAUUUCCCUUUUUCCUCAUCUAUCUCUGUUUUUUCGGUAGCUCUUUUUUCAGUAAUUUUUUGGUAGCUCUUUUUUCAGUAAUUUUUAGAGCUAUUUUCUAUUCAUCAGUAUUUUAUUUUUCUUUAGUAUUUUUUAGUAACCAUAGUAAAUGAUGGUUCAGUAAUUUCAUUUAUUCCCAACGAAAAAAAAGAUGAGAUUCACUGUUGUGCACCUUGCAGCCUUUAAUUCUCUUUUGUUUCUCUUGAUGGUAGUGAGGAUACCAAUUGCUGUCAAUUUCUGCAAACACAGCACCCUUCAAUAUUAUUUUGCGUUAGUAACCUUAGUAAUCGAUGGUCCGAUAAUUCUCCUAAUCUCCUUUGCUUUAGUAGUUUUACUUUCAGUAACUUUAAUUUAGUGGCAUUCCCAAUAAGCAUUCAACGAUCCGCCUUUCAGUAAUUUAGUAACUCUAAUCUCCAUAUUUUCCAUUAUCUAGUAAUCCAAAGCUAAACAUUCCAUAGCCCAACUGAUAGAAACUGUGCUACUUUGAUUACUAACAAGUUUCAGUAGUAAAUUUCAUUUUGUACACAGCCACAAAGACAGUUGCACUCAUCUGCAUACAUAGUUUCAGUAGCUUUCAUUUCCAUGAUUUUUUUAGAAACUGUGCUACUUUUUUAUUCUUGCCCAGCAACCAUAGUAUUUUCAGUUAGUUAAGUAAAUCACAUAGUAGUGUUUAGUAAUUACUGAACCAUUACUGUUUCAGUAAUUCGAUAUGCUUCAGUAUUUUAUUAUCUCCUUUAAUUUUUUAUCAGGUCAGCCAUAAUCUGAACAACAAUUACAUUUUUACUUCAGUAAUCUCCUUCCCAGUUAUCUAAUUCAGUAAUUGAUCUUCUUUUUUCAGUAAUUCCUUAUAGUAAUGUCACUACUUCAUCUUAUCCUUUUUUGUAAUUGACUAUACCUAUGCUUUUAGUAAUCCUUAUUAAUUCAGCAACCCCAAUGCAUACAAUUCUGGAAUUCAGUAGUCUAUUUUUCUCCAACUAUUGAUAUAGCAUAUUUAGUAGUCUUUCCAUUUUUCUUGGUUGAGUAACUCGAAUGAUAAGAUUGAUUAGUUAGUGUUAUUCCUUUCUUUUAAUAGCACCUUUUGUUUAGUAUUUCAACUCAGUGAUUCAAAUCAUAUAUACAGCAGCUUGUCUGUGUAAUUAUGUUUUUCAGUAUCCGAUUUCUUUUUUUAGUAAUUAUGUUCAGUGAUCCAUCAAAUUUGAUUCGGUAGUCAAUCCACUGAGUUCAGUAAUUAGUAUUGUUUAGUUAUAUAUCCAGUAAUAUUGGUUAGUAACUAAUCUUGUUUAUGUAAUUUCAGUAGUCGAUCCAUUGUGUUCAGAUUUAGUUGGGAUUUAGUUUGUUUUUUCAAGUAAUCCGUUUCCUUUGGUGGCUCUUUUUCUUUAGUAAGUUCUUUUGGCCAGUGCCUGAUGCUCGAUGAGAAUGAACUAAAUCUCAACUCCCGCUGGAUUAGGGUGAUUCUGCUCGUAACACAUUUGUAUAGGGCACAACUUCUUUACUACGUUUAAAUUCCACAAGCUUGCGCCUGGCAAUCUGAAUUUGUUCAGUAAUACUUUUUUGUAUCCUCGGUAAUACCAACUUGUCCAGUAACACUUUUUGUGCUCUCAUGUUAUGAAUUGGUAUUUAGUGAACAUGCCGAGGAAUGCCAUCACGCGGUUACUUAAAAAGUUGAGCGGCCGAGGAAUGCCGUCACACAGUUACUUAAAAGUUGAGCCAGGCUUGAUUGACUCGGCGUUGCAUCACCACUAGCCAUCCCGGGAAGCAGAUUCUACUGAGAUCCGAGGAGUUUUUAAGCAUCUGGAAGCCCAGAGAUUUAGGAUUCGGCUUUUUACUGAACACAUUUUGUAUUUUGCUUAAUGGGGUUUUAGUAUUACUUGUAAAAUUUUACAACUGGUAUCUUAGAAAUUUGUAUCAUUCUUAGCAA